rnacentral:rRNA from 1 species
AUUUGGAGAGGAUGCUUUUGGCACGGCGCCGUCCGAGUUCCUUGGAACAGGACGCCAUAGAGGGUGAGAGCCCCGUACGGACGGACGCCUAGCCUUUACAAAGCUCCUUCGACGAGUCGAGUAGUUUGGGAAUGCUGCUCAAAAUGGGAGGUAAAUUUCUUCUAAAGCUAAAUACCGGCCAGAGACCGAUAGCGCACAAGUAGAGUGAUCGAAAGAUGAAAAGCACUUUGAAAAGAGGGUUAAAAAGUACGUGAAAUUGUUGAAAGGGAAGCGCCUGUGACCAGACUUGCGCCCCGCGGACCACCCGGCGUUCUCGCCGGUGCACUCCGCGGGGCGCAGGCCAGCAUCGGUUUUCCUAGGGGGACAAAGGUCGCGGGAACGUAGCUCCUUCGGGAGUGUUAUAGCCCGCUUCGGCAUGCCCCUGGGGAGACCGAGGACCGCGCUUCGGCAAGGAUGCUGGCGUAAUGGUCACCAGCGACCCGUCUUGAAACACGGACCAAGGAGUCAAGCAUUGGGGCGAGUGUAUGGGUGCCAAACCCGCACGCGAAAUGAAAGUAAACGCAGGUGAGAGCUUCGGCGCAUCAUCGACCGAUCCUGAUGUCUUCGGAUGGAUUUGAGUAAGAGCCUUACCGCUUGGACCCGAAAGAUGGUGAACUAUGCCUGAAUAGGGUGAAGCCAGAGGAAACUCUGGUGGAGG